rnacentral:lncRNA from 1 species
AGUGGCUGUUUGAACGUAGCCCACCUUUUCUGAUGAUUAAGGUUCUCCGGCCCUUCACGGGGAUUAUGUCGUGAACCCUCUCACAGCAGCUAUGAGAGACUGCGGCGCUCCCCAGAUGAGGAAACCUGGUCCCCCAGCGCCAGAUGGAGUCUCGCUCUGUCGUCCCGGCUGGAGUGCAGUGGCGCGAUCUCGGCUCACUGCAAGCUCCGCCUCCCGGGUUCAAUCGAUUCUGCUGCCUCAGCCUCUGGAGUAGCUGGGACUGCGGCUCUGGGACAAACCAGCUUCUAUGUCAUGAGUACACUCAGGCAGCUCACUGGAGAGAUCUGCAUGGUAAAGCAAUGAGCCUCCUGCCAGUAGCCAUGUGGGGGGCAUCUUGGAGCCAGACCCUCCAGCCCCAGUCAAGCCUUCAGAUGCCUGCAGCCCUGACUGACAUUUCAACCACAAUUUUAUGAGAGAUUCUGAGCCAGAAUCACCCAGCUAAGCUGCUCCCAGGUUGCUGGCCUCCCAGCGUUUCUGCGUCU